rnacentral:rRNA from 1 species
CCUACGGGCGGCUGCAGUGGGGAAUAUUGCGCAAUGGGGGAAACCCUGACGCAGCAACGCCGCGUGAUUGAAGAAGGCCUUCGGGUUGUAAAGAUCUUUAAUCAGGGACGAAACAAAUGACGGUACCUGAAGAAUAAGCUCCGGCUAACUACGUGCCAGCAGCCGCGGUAAUACGUAGGGAGCAAGCGUUAUCCGGAUUUACUGGGUGUAAAGGGCGCGCAGGCGGGCCGGUAAGUUGGAAGUGAAAUCUAUGGGCUUAACCCAUAAACUGCUUUCAAAACUGCUGGUCUUGAGUGAUGGAGAGGCAGGCGGAAUUCCGUGUGUAGCGGUGAAAUGCGUAGAUAUACGGAGGAACACCAGUGGCGAAGGCGGCCUGCUGGACAUUAACUGACGCUGAGGCGCGAAAGCGUGGGGAGCAAACAGGAUUAGAUACCCGAGUAGUC